GCCGCGCAGCGCGGACACGGGCCGCAGCUCCCCCCCCCCCUCCGCCCUGCCCCGCCCCGCCUUCGGGGGACCGCCGCCGGCGCGGCUCCUUCGGCUGCACCGGGGGCUGCUGCGGCCGGAGCGCGAGGCGCUGCGCGGGACCUGUUGCGUUGGGAGCUGCGGCCGCUCCAGAAAGGGAGCCUUUCCACUUGAAGAAACGCUUGGUACCUGUAACUCAGGAGGAUUUAGUCUCUUGAAGCAAAGUUCUGUGACACUCGGACUCUGAUUAUGAUAGAAGUCAGUGCACUACAGAACUUUGUCUUUGGGGUCUGUAGCAGCGAAGAGGUUAAUGCAGCAGUCCUGAAAGGCUCAGGUGGACACGUCACUACAAUCUCCUUCCAAAAGGAGGUGGGAUCAGAGGAGAGAAUGAAAUGGGAGUGGGAGAGCAGACCAGGGUUCACUUCAGUAACUCUGCUUUGGGCUUGAAACAAAAACUUUGCUUUUAUAAUCUAGUGGCCUGCUAGUUUCUGAAGAUUUUGGAUUAAAAAUAGCACAACAUCUGGGUAUCGUAAAGUUAUUUAAAUGAGGCCAAUUUGACUGCAAGUAUAAAUGUGGAACUAAAUGCUACCAAUUAGUGGUCAUAUUAACAUGUUAGGCACUAUUCCUAUUUGCCUAAUCUCUGUAGACAUUAUAUAAAAGUUACUGAACACUUGUGCAAAAACCUUUAGUUUUAUUUAAAUAAUUAUGACAAUAGUUAACUGAAAGCUAUUUUAACUAGAGUUGAAGAAAUGACUUGGUACUCUUCAUUAGCAAGAUCUAGGAAAUGUUCCACUCAAACUAUUACCAUUGUCUGCAAUUUGCAUAUUUUGUGAUGUGCUACAUCAUAAAGCAAUGAGUUGUCUUCACUUAAAAAUGUGAACUGCUAUGGGCUACUUGAAUACAAGGCAACUUUGUUCCUGUAUUUUUAAUGUAGUUGGACUACUGUCAACAUUUGUAUUUAAGUACUUGCCGAAAUCUUCCUUUUGAGGAAAAGGUUUUUGAAGGACUAGUCUAAAUCAAUGUUUAAUAGUAAGAAAGAUGUGCUGAAGACACUAUAAUCUGACACACAGACUACACUAGUGGGUGUUGCAGCUCACAGCAAUGGUUGAGUUGGUUUUGAAUGUGAACAGAUGUCCAAUCAGGUCCAGAAUGAGGUGACCAAGCUCACUUCUGAAGCUAGCAACAGUAUAACAUUCACUUGUUAGCUUUAGAAAUGCUGCACAAUAUCAAAUACAAAUGGUAAAUAUAAACUUUCUUUAAGGUGGGCUUAACCAAAAGAUGAUUAUUCUUCUGAUAGCCGAGGCAAUUGUUUCAACAGCAAUCAAAACAAAUGAGGGUGUUUUGGAUAUUGACUAGUCAUUACAAAUUAAGUAAUGACUUCAGGUGGCCCUUCAGCAACAGUAGCCUCUUCAACAAAUAGUUGCAUUGUAGUAGGGAAUGAAUGAAAAUAUAAAUAUAUAUAUAUUUCAGUAUUUUUCUGAUAGGGGUUUUGUGUUCAUUAGUUUCUUUGAUCUUCCACUACCCUAGAAACCUAAAUCAACUCUUCCUGUCAGUCCAUACCUGAAAGGUAAAGCAAGAGUAUCAGCUCACUGCGAGUUGGGCUGCAAUGUGAAAAGCUAUUCUAAAUAUAUAUAGUUUCUUUUAGCCAACCUAUUUCAUCAAAGGGUAAGUAAAGUGAAGAGCAUUUAGUGUAUGGUAGCCUGUGUGGUCAAUGUUAUGGCUGUAUUUGCUUUUUCCAGACCAGUUUUUGGCAAUUGCCUGCUGUUUUAAAUUGUACACUAUGCAGUUGUUUUAAGAGAAGGCUUGGCUACUACUCUGUGCAGCUCUUUAUCAGUAUGGCUAUGGGGCAACACCUUUUAUUGUCAGGGCUAAAGUCCCACUGCUUAUUUAACUUGGGAGUGGUUUCUGCCCCUAUAUAAAAUACACACGGAGUUACUAUUUUUCCAUGUUUUGUACAUGCUCAAAAGCACCAGACCUUAAGCAAAAAGGGCUCCCUAGUUUUAACACCUAAAUGUUAGUUGUUGUUUUUUUUCAGUCUUCAUUGCUGUGAAACACUUUUUUUUAUAUAUUUAACACCAUUAUAAAUGCUGGAGUCAAAGCAGGGUUUGGGGUGGAGGUGGACAGCUCAUGAUCCCCCCCACAUAAUAACCUCACAACCCCUUGAUGGGUCCUGCCCCCCAAUUUGAGAACCCCUGCUGUAUUUGGAGUUUAUCUUACACCAAUCCUGGGUCUAUGCUAGGACCAGAUUCUGAUGUUUCAAACUGUAAACCCUGAGUCUGUUAAUAUAGUCUUUCUGGAUUUACACCAGUGUAAUAGAUCAGAAUCUGUCCUUAAGUAAAGGCCUGAUUCAUUCUCUAACCUCUAAGUUGAAUGUGUAAGUUUUGGGGUGAAUUUUUUUGUUACUUACUCACCUGAGGAGUCCCACUCUAGUAAAUGUGACUAGAUACGUGAGUAAAUUGAGCAAGCUUUGCCCUUAAAGUAUCUGUUGGGAGAUUUUUUUUCAUUUGUCUCUGUGACUUUCUCACAAUGUGCAUUUUAGCUUGGUAGGGCAUGUGACACUCAAUACAUGCCAAUUUUCAGAUGGGAGUAAUACUUAUAUAGUGUACUUUAAGUGGCACUUAAGUUUUGAUAGCAGGUGGUCAGGUGACCUGAGGCAGCUCUGGG